UACGGGGGGGGGCAAGCGUUGUUCGGAAUUACUGGGCGUAAAGGGCUCGUAGGCGGCCAACUAAGUCGGAUGUGAAAUCCCCAGGCUCAACCUGGGGAACUGCAUCCGAUACUGGAUGGCUUGAAUCCGGGAGAGGGAUGCAGAAUUCCAGGUGUAGCGGUGAAAAUGCGUAGAUAUCUGGAGGAAUACCGGUGGCGAAGGCGGCAUCCUGGACCGGCAUUGACGCUGAGGAGCGAAAAGCUAGGGGGAGCAAACGGGG
rnacentral:rRNA from 1 species